AAAAAAAACCUGCUUAGUAUGAUAUUUGCUAUCUAGUUCACCAAAAAAAGUUUUUUCAAAGGGAUGAUAAAAGCUUUAACUACAAAGAGAUACAAUAUGCUAAGCAAUAGAGAAUAAAACUUAAACUAUAAAGAGAAUAGUAGACCGUUAAAACAAAUGCAGUAGCUUCCUAGUUAACAAUAUGGGCAAUACAAUCUAUUAUAUCUUUUAAUUAAGCCCUAAAACAAGCCAAGUAUUGUGAAUACUAUGCAAGAAUGUGUGUUGAAAGCUUCAAUCUAUCAAACUUGUUACAACCAUCUUUGCAUCUUCACUGAUGUGCCCCAUCUGUGAUAUGUUUUUUAGGACCUUGCAAUGCAUAUAUAAAAAAGUUGAUAAUAAAAAUUAAAAUUUGUGUCUAUCUAAAAUAUUGUCAAAGCAUUAGGGUAAACUUUAAGAAUUGAUUUAAUAGCUAGAAUUAAAUUUUUUUUUCCUUGUAAUGAGCACCACAUAAAGAAAAUAAAUCUAAAGCUUCUAACCACAAAAUUAGACUUUAAUUUUAUGCAAGAAGUGACCAAGGGAAAAAAAUCAACAAGAUAUGCACAAACUUCAAAAGAUUAGGCAGAGUACAAAAGGCUUUGAAAAAACUGCAACAAAAUACAUAUAAUAGAUGACUUAAGUUAAGCAAGUUCAUUUGCCACCUGAUUGUUUUCUAAGAUUGAAACCAUGGCAAGCCAUGAAAGAUGUUCUGUAUCAUGUGUCCAAGAGGCCCAAUUGAUUCGUUGGUUUGAUGGCUUGAAAAAGCAACGUGCUCCUUAAUAAAUGAUACCAAACCCAUCACAAUACACCAAAAAUAAAUAUCACCAUAAAAAUAAUAAUAAUAAAUAAAUAAAUAAUUUGACUCUCUCUCUCUCUCUCUCUCUGUUGCUGCAUGCAUUUUCUUCUUUGUUUCUUCACCAAUUAUCAUCAAGCAAAACGAUCGGUCAACGGGGUUCGAGAAUUUUAAUGAUUUUUGAACCCAGAAGUGGUUCAGGGACUUUGUAAUAACAACUCAUGAAUUCUAUUUAAGGAUAUAUGGAAUUAUUAUUAUUAAUGGAGCGGUUGGUGGCUUUGGUUUCGCUUGGUUUUGUAUCAAAGGUUUCUGCUAAUGCCGAAGAGGCGAUGCUUUGAAUGCUUUGAAGACCAAUUUAGCUGAUCCAAACAAUGUUCUGCAAAGUUGGGAUCCUACCCUUGUGAAUCCCUGCACAUGGUUCCAGGUAACAUGCGAUAGCGAAAAUAGUGUGACAUGAGUUGAUCUUGGAAAUGCAAAUCUUUCUGGUCAACUGGUUCCACAACUUGGUCAGCUUUUAAAUCUGCAAUAUUUGUUUAUUUUCCAUACCUCAUAAGGCGUGCGCCUAUGUACUUGCCAAAUCCUUUGAGUGAGCUUCUUCAUGAUCCAACUUUGAAGGUAUAUACUGUGAAAAACUAGAAUUUUCCUUGUAUUGAGAUCUUCCAUUUCUUUCUGCAUCGCCUUUGAUGCAGUUCAUUUUUAAAGCCAGCUGUUACUAGCUUAUGUUGUAUAAUAAGUAGUUAGCAUGUGUAACAAAGUCACAUGCUGAAAGAAAUCACAAGUUAUAGCCAGCACUUAGCUUAUAUAUCAUUUAUCUCACAUGUCUAAAUUAAUUGGUCACAUUUCGAAUUAACUUCUACUACAUUUUCCAUGUGCCAUAUUAUUUAAUCAUGUCUAAAAUGAAAGCCUUUCCUUGAGUAGCAUAUUUCAGCCACAUCAUCAUGCCCUAGUGGAGUGGUCUUCCAUGUCAUCAUGUCCUUGUCAUCAUGACAUAAUCAGACACCUUGUCAUACUUGCAUCAUCUGAUCUGUGUUUUUUUGUUUGUAUUAAAUGUCCCCAACUGCUGGUUCUGCAACCAAAGUCUUGUCCAUGGUGAUGGGCAAAGUCUCAAAGUGUGUUUAUGGUUGUCGUGCAUUUCAGGUGAAGUUUGGUUGUUUAAACUCAUAUUGUUGGGGUGUGGUUAGAUCUCCACUAACUCGUUUAUCACUUAAAAAAAAUCCUUUCCACCCCUAAAAGUAUCAUCUAUCUGGUAUGAUUUCUUCACCAUGACUGUCAUUCCUUCCAUACUCUGCCACAUAUAAAAACUGGCUUCAUUUGCUAUAACAUCUCUAAAACACAAAAGCUUUGCAUGAUUCCCUCAAAUUUUUUAAGGAAUCUUUGGUAGGGUCGUGAUGCAUUUAAACUUGAUAACGUUGAGCAGAACAAAUUGCUCCCUUGUUCCCUCAGAGCCUUUUGCUCAUAAAUCCUUUGCCCCAUUUGAUAAUCCAAAGCCCGUAUCUUCUUGUGCGUUCUUCUAAAACUAUUUUGAAUGAUUUCGAUUCUAACUGAAAGAACUUCCUACCUCCCAUCUCUCUUAAUUGGAAUGUAUUCUUUAGGUUCUUGAUUAUUUACUUUGUGAUGAGUCCCGAAAGACUGCUGCCACCCGCCCCUCCCACCGUUUGGACCUCCCAUUUUUGCUGUAAUAUAGUGGAAGAAGUUGGGUGGAGCACCAACUGAUAUAAUAUUUUAAUGAACCAUGUAAGAACACAUUGUUACACACAAACAUGUACGAAUAUGAUGGAUUAUAUUUCAUGUUUUAUCCUGUUUUUCUUUUGUUGAUUUUCUUGAAUAACAUGAGUAACAAUUCACUGGAAUGCAAUUCCUCUAUGUCUUAUGUGGUGAAUUUUGGAGACAAUGAAAUGCUCAAAGAGUUGAACAGUGUGUGAAAUCAAUUUCAGACUUGAAGCUUUUGUUGUUAAGGUCAUUAUAUGAUUGGAUGGCUGCCAUUGCAACAUUUUUCUUUUUAGUCUUAAUUGAUAGCUUUUGGUGUAUGUCUUUUAUACAUCCUAUUGUGGAUUAUAUCUUUCAAUAUUCAACUUAUGUAUGUGUCUUAUAGUUUCUUUUUGCCAUCUAAUCUAGGAAAUGGUUUAUUGGUUCUGGCCAUUGUUCUAUAUGUUGCUGAAGCAAAGUUUAUGAAUGUUAAAUUUGACUCAUUUUGCAAUCUUUUGCAAUAAAACAUGGAAUGUGCUAUAUAGAUUUUUUUUUCUUUUUUCUUUUUUC